CCUACGGGAGGCAGCAGUGAGGAAUAUUGGUCAAUGGACGAGAGUCUGAACCAGCCAAGUAGCGUGAAGGAUGACUGCCCUAUGGGUUGUAAACUUCUUUUAUAUGGGAAUAAAAUGUUCCACGUGUGGGAUUUUGUAUGUACCAUAUGAAUAAGGAUAGGCUAACUCCGUGCCAGCAGCCGCGGUAAUACGGAGGAUCCGAGCGUUAUCCGGAUUUAUUGGGUUUAAAGGGAGCGUAGGUGGAUUGUUAAGUCAGUUGUGAAAGUUUGCGGCUCAACCGUAAAAUUGCAGUUGAAACUGGCAGGCUUGAGUACAGUAGAGGCAGGCGGAAUUCGUGGUGUAGCGGUGAAAUGCUUAGAUAUCACGAGGAACUCCGAUUGCGAAGGCAGCUCACUGGACUGCAACUGACACUGAGGCUCGAAAGUGUGGGUAUCAAACAGGAUUAGAUACCCCUGUAGUC
rnacentral:rRNA from 1 species